rnacentral:rRNA from 1 species
CUCGAGUGGCGAACGGGUGAGUAACACGUGGGUGAUCUGCCCUGCACUUCGGGAUAAGCUUGGGAAACUGGGUCUAAUACCGGAUAGGAGCCAUCUUUAGUGUGGUGGUUGGAAAGUUUUUCGGUGUAGGAUGAGCUCGCGGCCUAUCAGCUUGUUGGUGGGGUAAUGGCCUACCAAGGCGGCGACGGGUAGCCGGCCUCGAGAGGGUGUACGGCCACAUUGGGACUGAGAUACGGUCCAG